CCUAGUCUCAACCAUAAACGAUGCCGACCAGGGAUCGGCGGAUGUUGCUUAUAGGACUCCGCCGGCACCUUAUGAGAAAUCAAAGUCUUUGGGUUCCGGGGGGAGUAUGGUCGCAGCGCUGAAACUUAAAGGAAUUGACGGAAGGGCACCACCAGGCGUGGAGCCUGCGGCUUAAUUUGACUCAACACGGGGAAACUUACCAGGUCCAGACAUAGCAAGGAUUGACAGACUGAGAGCUCUUUCUUGAUUCUAUGGGUGGUGG
rnacentral:ncRNA from 1 species